UACGUAGGGGGCAAGCGUUGUCCGGAUUUAUUGGGCGUAAAGAGCGUGUAGGCGGCUAGGUAGGUCCGUUGUGAAAACUCGAGGCUACCAUCCGAUCGCGCGGCGGCGAAACCAUCUGGCUAGAGUCCGGAAGAGGAGAGUGGAAUUCCGUGGUGUAGCGGUGAAAUGCGCAGAUAUCAGGAAGAACACCCGUGGCUAAGGCGGCUCUCUAGUACGGUACUGACGCUGAGACGCGAAAGCGUGGGGAGCGAACAGG
rnacentral:rRNA from 1 species